CCUACGGGUGGCUGCAGUGGGGAAUUUUGGACAAUGGGCGCAAGCCUGAUCCAGCAAUGCCGCGUGCAGGAAGAAGGCCUUCGGGUUGUAAACUGCUUUUGUCAGGGAAGAAAUCUUCUGGGUUAAUACCUCGGGAGGAUGACGGUACCUGAAGAAUAAGCACCGGCUAACUACGUGCCAGCAGCCGCGGUAAUACGUAGGGUGCGAGCGUUAAUCGGAAUUACUGGGCGUAAAGCGUGCGCAGGCGGCUUUGCAAGACAGAUGUGAAAUCCCCGGGCUCAACCUGGGAACUGCAUUUGUGACUGCAAGGCUAGAGUACGGCAGAGGGGGAUGGAAUUCCGCGUGUAGCAGUGAAAUGCGUAGAUAUGCGGAGGAACACCGAUGGCGAAGGCAAUCCCCUGGGCCUGUACUGACGCUCAUGCACGAAAGCGUGGGGAGCAAACAGGAUUAGAUACCCCUGUAGUC
rnacentral:rRNA from 1 species